rnacentral:piRNA from 1 species
UGCUGGUUAGCGUCAGGGGCUUCACACCAGC